rnacentral:rRNA from 1 species
UACGACUACAUAUCAGGCAUAUCAAUAAGCGGAGGAAAAGAAACUAACAAGGAUUCCCUAGUAACGGCGAGUGAAGCGGGAAGAGCUCAAAUUUGAAAUCUUAAAGGUUCUACCUUGACGAAUUGUAGUUUAUAGAAGUGUUUUCUGUUAGUGGAGUGGCAAAAGUUCUUUGGAAUAGGACAUCAUAGAGGGUGAGAAUCCCGUAUUUGGUACAUUCCUCCUAGCGUUGUGAUACACUUUCAACGAGUCGGAUUGUUUGGGAAUGCAGUCCAAAAUGGGUGGUAAAUUUCAUCUAAAGCUAAAUAUUGGCGAGAGACCGAUAGCGAACAAGUACCGUGAGGGAAAGAUGAAAAGAACUUUGAAAAGAGAGUUAAACAGUACGUGAAAUUGUCAAAAGGGAAGCGUUUGACACCAGUGUUGUUUUCUCGAAAAUCAAUUAAAAAGUAUUGGAUUUUGUAUUGUUAAGACCUUAUCAGCUUACGGUACUCUUUUCCUUCUCUUUUUAAUGCACUUUUCGUUUAACAAGUCAACAUCAAUUUCUUUUGUUGUAAAAGAGUCAUUGGAAGGUGGCUUUCACUUCGGUGAAAGUGUUUAUAGCCUUUGGCUUCUGCAAUCGGAGAGAUUGAGGUCUGCAGCGUAGAUCCUUCGGGGUUAGAUACGUUAGAUGCUAAGUUAUAGCCUUUUCAUAGACAACUUGUUGACUAUGAUCAUCAUGUAGCUUACUCGCUUAUGGCUAUUUUACCUACGCUUAGGAUGUUGAAUCUGUGCGAGACUAC